rnacentral:rRNA from 1 species
UACGUAGGGGCGAGCGUUGUCCGGAAUUAUUGGGCGUAAAGGGUACGCAGGCGGUUCUUUAAGUUCUGAUGUGAAAUCUCACAGCUUAACUGUGAGCGGUCAUUGGAAACUGAGGAACUUGAGUAUAGAAGAGAAGAGUGGAAUUCCAAGUGUAGCGGUGAAAUGCGUAGAUAUUUGGAGGAACACCAGUGGCGAAGGCGACUCUUUGGUCUAUUACUGACGCUGAGGUACGAAAGCAUGGGUAGCAAACAGGAUUAGAUACCCCGGUAGUCCCU